UGCCAGCCGCCGCGGAAAUACCGGCAGCUCAAGUGGUCGUCGCUUUUAUUGGGCCUAAAACGUCCGUAGCCGGUCUGAUACAUUCGUGGGUAAAUCAACCAGCUCAACUGGUUGAAUUCUGCGAGGACGGUCAGACUUGGGACCGGGAGAGGUGUGGGGUACUCUAGGGGUAGGGGUAAAAUCCUGUCAUCCUUAGAGGACCACCAGUUGCGAAGGCGCCACACUAGAACGGAUCCGACGGUCAGGGACGAAGCCUAGGGGCACGAACCGGAUUAGAUA
rnacentral:rRNA from 1 species